CAGACCAACCGGAUAUCCAAAAAAUUUCCCCGAAUUUUAAGAACCCGUAUAUAGAAUUUCGCCUAAUCCUGUUCGAAGAAUUGCACACCAAAAUUAUUCUAGGAAAUUUCUCGAAUUGUUCUUCGAUUUAGAUCAGUAUUUGAAGAUUUGUUGUCGAUCAAGAGAAUUCUGGUAAAUGUUGCAAUGGAGAAAUAUAUAUGCUGCCAAAGGAAGAAAAGCUCAUCCGUCACAAGCCAAAGCCAUGUUUAGAAGAGAAUUAUUGUUCAAAAGAUUCUCAUUUGAUGGUUGAAAACGACUACCCUAUCUCUCAGAUUCUCUUAAAGUACUCGAAGAAAAGGCCUCACAACUGUCCUCUGAUUGUGGAUUCAUGCACAGGAGCUGGCAAGAAGAUAAGAAGAAUCGACAAAGAGGGAAUUAUUGAUCAAGUUGUUGCAGAAACUUCACCAAAUCGACGCGAAAAGGGCCCAAAGUUGGAGGCUGUAAAUCUUGCUUCCAUGGGUCCAAGAAGAUGGUGGUACUUGUACCUCUUUUUGCAAUCUUAGCAGCUCAGAAAUUCCUUUGAUGAAUUAGAAACUUAUCAGCAGAUGCUAAUUGGAGUAUAUUUUUAGCUUUCAAAACAUAAUAUAGAUCUGACAUGCAUUAUCCUGGGAGAGAGAAGUGUGUCUUAAACUCAUCAGUGAGAAUUGAAACACAUGACAUGUUACUUCUGAUUUCAGUUUGCUUCAUAGCAAUGUGGUUGGCUAUGUACUGCUUCUGAGGAGAGUGCUUUUCCUUCUAAAGAAAAGGACUAUUCAGCAAUCUGAUAAUUUGAGAAAUUGAGUUUUACAGUUUAAACGGAAUUCGAGUGUAUGGUGUUAUUACAAAAGGUUUUAAAGGUAAAAUUCCCUUAUAACUGCCUCCUUUCUAGGGUUUGGUGGAGCCUUCUUUGUGAUUUAAAGAAUAAGGACAAAGUCACGUGCCGCACAUGUUAUUGAUGGACGCGUAGACACAGGAGUAAAUGGUUUGCCUUCUUGCUGAAAUAUUGGUUUGUGCAAGGUACUAAUUCAGUUGCGGGAGAGCUUCAAACUGCAAAAGGAGCAAAGUGAUAUGAUGUGUCAUCUCAAAGCUGCCGUUGGACGAGAGCAUGAGGAAAGCAAUGAAUGAGCCAAGGGAAAAAUUCACCCUUGUGUAUGGUUUACAUAAUUGUGCUCAAAUAGACCUGACCAUUGAAUUUGGAAACUAGCCGGGCAAUAAUUGGCGUAUGAAUUUCUCCUCCAUAUAAGUUUGGUUCUAAUAUUGAGAUUCUUUUAAUUUCAACCCAGAAAGAUCCCCCACAAAUAUUCGCUCCAAUUACGGCACUUGUGAUGCUAAUGAUUGUACAUCUAAAUCUUAACUGAAAGACUGCUUUCUGGAACUAGUACGCUGGAAUUGCUUACUUUUUAGAGGGUUAGAGUGAGUCCCCCACUAGCCCUCUUAAAACCCUUUUGAUGUGAUGGUCUAUGUGCGGGAAGCUAGUUGAUUCUACUA